AGACGGCUAUAUGGAAGCCAAAGAAACAGACACAGAAUCUCUGGAAACAAGUGCAGCUCGAGGUUUAACAACUUGUCGCUACAACAAACAAAAACUGGCAAAUCGCCUGCUCACUGCUCCUUUCUUUGACCUCUGACCUCUCCACUGCAGCAUGUCGAGCAGCACACGAUGAGUCAAGUGUAACCCUUUUGCAGAUAAAAGCCAAACUAACCUGGAGAGUCAGGAUCAGUUUCUCCUCCUGUUCCGUCCUGAAGUUACUUCAGCACUGAACUGAAGUCCAGACCUGCAGCCUGCUGCUCUAUGUGGACAGCCUGCUGCUCUAUGUGGACAUCAGGCCUGUAAAUCUUUGCAUUCAAAGUGCCGACAGCAGGGCGUCACCAAUGGCUUCAGCCUCAUCUCCAGCCGGUUUAAACUAACUGUGGAGCAGCUGCAACAGGAAAUAAAGGCUUUUAUAACUUUC